rnacentral:rRNA from 1 species
AUACGGAGGAUCCGAGCGUUAUCCGGAUUUAUUGGGUUUAGAGGGUGCGUAGGCGGAUGAUUAAGCGUGAGGUGAAAUGCCACUGCUCAACAGUGGAACUGCCUCGCGAACUGGUUGUCUUGAAUGCUCCUGCCGUGGGAGGAAUGUGUGGUGUAGCGGUGAAAUGCAUAGAGAUCACACAGAACACCGAUUGCGAAGGCAUCUCACGAAGGGGUGAUUGACGCUGAGGCACGAAAGCGUGGGGAUCAAACAGGAUUAGAUACCCUGGUAGUCCACGCAGUAAACGAUGAUAACUAACCGCUGGGUCGUAGUGAUUCAGUGGCCAAGCGAAAGCGAUAAGUUAUCCACCUGGGGAGUACGACCGCAAGGUUGAAACUCAAAUGAAUUGGCGGGG